rnacentral:rRNA from 1 species
CCUACGGGAGGCUGCAGUGAGGAAUAUUGGUCAAUGGACGGAAGUCUGAACCAGCCAUGCCGCGUGCAGGAAGACGGCUCUAUGAGUUGUAACCUGCUUUUGUACAAGGGUAAACCUGAAUACGUGUAUUCAGCUGAAAGUACUGUACGACUAAGGAUCGGCUAACUCCGUGCCAGCAGCCGCGGUAAUACGGAGGAUCCAAGCGUUUUCCGGAUUUAUUGGGUUUAAAGGGUGCGUAGGCGGAUUGAUAAGUUAGAGGUGAAAUGUCCGAGCUUAACUCGGGAACUGCCUCUAAUACUGUUGGUCUAGAGAAUAGAUGCGGUAGGCGGAAUGUAUGGUGUAGCGGUGAAAUGCUUAGAGAUCAUACAGAACACCGAUUGCGAAGGCAGCUUACCAAUCUAUAUCUGACGUUGAGGCACGAAAGCGUGGGGAGCAAACAGGAUUAGAUACCCUUGUAGUC